rnacentral:SRP_RNA from 1 species
GCUGGGCGUGGUGGCACGUGCCUGUAAUCCCAGCUACUCAGGAGGCUGAGGCAGGAGAAUCACUUGAAUUCAGGAGACAGAGGUUGCAGUGAGCCAAGAUUGUGCCACUGCAUUCCAGCCUGGGUGACAGAGUGAGACUCUGUCUCAA